GUUUUAUUGAUUAUUAUUUUGUUAAGUUUUUAGAAAGAUUUAAAAUAAGAAUAUUAGGGUUUAAUUAUUAGUUAAGAAUAAAUUUUUUUUAUUAUAGAUAAUUAGUAUUGAAAAAGAAAUUAUUAUAAUUUAAAGAAGAAUAAUUUAUUUUUAGUACCUUGUGUAUCAGGGUUUAUUAAAAAUUUUCUAAAAAUUUAGUUUUCUCGAAUUUAGAAGAGCUAUUGGUUUAUUGAUUUUACUGUUGAAUAAUUAUUUAAAAUAAGCUGAUAGAAAUGAAACGUUAUUCGUUUCUAAAUAUAUCUAGUUUUUAAAGAAAAAAAUUUAAUUUUGUUUGUUUAAGGGAUUUCCUAAAUUUUUAGGAUUUUUUUGUUACAAGGCAAUAUCUUAGGGGAUGAGCUCUAUAGAUAAAUUUUUAUAAUUUAAUUUAAAUAGCAAAAUAUAUAGGAUUAGAAGUUUUCAUUAUUAGAACAGUGUUAUAACUGAUUUUGUUUAUAAUAAUUAUUUAUAUUAAAUUUAAAUUUUUUAUUUAAAUAUAAUUUUUAAUUAUAAAAAUUAAGUAAUAAUGAUAAAAUUAGUAUAAUUAUAUUUUUGAUAAAGUUUUACUGUUUAAGAUAAGGUUAAGGAAUUCGGCAAAUAGAUUUUUCACCUGUUUAUUAAAAACAUGGCCUUUUGAUUUUUAUUUAAGGUCUGGCCUGCCCACUGAUAAUUUAAAGGGCCGCGGUAUUUUGACCGUGCAAAGGUAGCAUAAUCAUUAGUUUUUUAAUUGAAAGCUGGAAUGAAUGGUCGGAUGAGAAAAUGGCUGUCUCUAUCUUAAUUUCUAGAAUUUAACUUUUAAGUAAAAAGGCUUAAAUGUUAUUAAAAGACGAGAAGACCCUAUAGAGUUUUAUAUCUUUUUUAAUAGAAAUUUUUAGUAUUAUUAACUUUUAUUAAUAAAGAUAUUUGGUUGGGGAGACUGAAAAAUUAAGUUAACUUUUUCUUAUUUUUACACUAAUUAGUGAUUAAUUGAUCCAUAAUUUAUGAUUGAAAGAUAAAAUUACCUUAGGGAUAACAGCGUAAUCCUUUCUGAGAGUUCUAAUCGAAGGGAGGGUUUGCGACCUCGAUGUUGGAUUAAAAUUAAUUUUCGGUGCAGAAGCUGGGAAUAUUAGGUCUGUUCGACCUUUAAAAUUUUACAUGAUCUGAGUUUAAACCGGCGUGAGCCAGGUUGGUUUCUAUCUUUAAUAAAGUGAAAUAUUUUAGUACGAAAGGACCAAGUAUUUGAUAAUCUAUUUUUUUUUAGAAUAUUAU
rnacentral:rRNA from 1 species